UCCCUGGUGGCUCAGAGGUUAAAGCGUCUGCCUCACGCAGGAGACCUGGGUUCGAUCCCUGGGUUGGGAA
rnacentral:tRNA from 1 species